rnacentral:rRNA from 1 species
UGGUACCGGUGGAUCACUCGGCUCGUGUGUCGAUGAAGAGCGCAGCCAACUGUGUGAAUUAAUGCGAACUGCAUACUGCUUUGAACAUCGACAUCUUGAACGCAUAUUGCGGCCACGGGUUAGCCUGUGGCCACGCCUGUCCGAGGGUCGGCUUAUAAACUAUCGCGACGCCCAAAAAGUCGCGGCUUGGGUUUUGCCAGCUGGCGUGAUCUCCCCAAUCUGGUCUUGUGCCUGUGGGGUGCCAGAUCUGUGGCGUUUCCCUAACAUACUCGGGCGCACCCACGUUGCGGCUGAAAGCCUUGACGGGGAUGUGGCAACGGAAUCGUGGCUCAGUGAAUGAUUUAUGUGCGCGUUCCGCUGUCCUGUCUUCAUCUGUGGUUUAUGUUGCGCGUGGUCUGCUUUCGAUGCUGACCUACGUAUGUGCCAUGUGGUUCAUUCUCCUGACCUCGGAUCAGACGUGAGUACCCGCUGAACUUAAGCAUAUCACUAAGCGGAGGAAAAGAAACUAACCAGGAUCCCA